rnacentral:rRNA from 1 species
GUUUGAUCCUGGCUCAGAUUGAACGCUGGCGGCAUGCUUUACACAUGCAAGUCGAACGGCAGCACGGGCUUCGGCCUGGUGGCGAGUGGCGAACGGGUGAGUAAUAUAUCGGAACGUGCCCAAGAGUGGGGGAUAACGUAGCGAAAGUUACGCUAAUACCGCAUACGAUCUAUGGAUGAAAGCAGGGGACCUUCGGGCCUUGUGCUCCUGGAGCGGCCGAUAUCUGAUUAGCUAGUUGGUGAGGUAAAGGCUCACCAAGGCGACGAUCAGUAGCUGGUCUGAGAGGACGACCAGCCACACUGGAACUGAGACACGGUCCAGACUCCUACGGGAGGCAGCAGUGGGGAAUUUUGGACAAUGGGGGCAACCCUGAUCCAGCAAUGCCGCGUGAGUGAAGAAGGCCUUCGGGUUGUAAAGCUCUUUUGUCAGGGAAGAAAAGGGUACGGCUAAUAUCCGUACCUCAUGACGGUACCUGAAGAAUAAGCACCGGCUAACUACGUGCCAGCAGCCGCGGUAAUACGUAGGGUGCAAGCGUUAAUCGGAAUUACUGGGCGUAAAGCGUGCGCAGGCGGUUUUGUAAGUCUGUCGUGAAAUCCCCGGGCUUAACCUGGGAAUGGCGAUGGAGACUGCAAGGCUGGAGUUUGGCAGAGGGGGGUAGAAUUCCACGUGUAGCAGUGAAAUGCGUAGAGAUGUGGAGGAACACCGAUGGCGAAGGCAGCCCCCUGGGUCAAGACUGACGCUCAUGCACGAAAGCGUGGGGAGCAAACAGGAUUAGAUACCCUGGUAGUCCACGCCCUAAACGAUG